GAGGGAAUAGCUCAGUUGGUUAGAGUGCUGGUCUGUCACGCCAGAAGUCGCGAGUUCGAACCCAGUUUUCCCUG
rnacentral:tRNA from 1 species